rnacentral:rRNA from 1 species
UACGGAGGAUGCAAGCGUUAUCCGGAUUCAUUGGGUUUAAAGGGUGCGUAGGCGGGCUAUUAAGUCAGUGGUGAAAUCCUGCAGCUUAACUGCAGAACUGCUGUUGAUACUGAUAGUCUUGAGUUUGGUUAAGGUAGGCGGAAUGUGUAAUGUAGCGGUGAAAUGCUUAGAUAUUACACAGAACACCAAUUGCGUAGGCAGCUUACUGAGCCGACACUGACGCUGAGGCACGAAAGCGUGGGGAUCAAACAGGA